AUGGAGGCGGUGAAGAGCCUCCUGAAGCCGAAGCCGACGCCGCAGCAGCAGCUGCGCGAGUGGCAGCGCCGCCUCCGCAACGAGGGCCGCAACAUCGAGCGCCAGAUCCGAGACGUGCAGAAGGAGGAGAAGAAGGUGGAGAAGGCCAUCAAGGAGUCCGCCAGGCGCGGCGACAUGGGAUCCGCCAAGGCGCUGGCCAAGGAGCUGGUGCAGUCCAGGAAGGCCGUCAACCGCCUCUACGAGAACAAGGCCCAGCUCAACUCCAUCUCCAUGCACCUCGGCGAGAUCGUCGCUACCACCAGGACGGUAGGACAUUUGUCCAAGAGCACCGAAGUGAUGAAGCUUGUGAACAAUCUGAUGAAGGCCCCAGAGAUAGCUGUCACCAUGCAGGAAUUCAGCAAAGAGAUGACAAAGGCCGGCGUGAUGGAAGAGAUGGUCAAUGAUGCCAUGGAUUCAGCACUGGACGAUGAGGGCAUGGAGGAGGAGAUCGAGGAGGAGGUUGAUAAGGUCCUCUCCGCAAUCGCCGGGGAGACUGCGUCCCAGCUUCCUGAUGCCGUCCGCAAACAAAAAGAGAAGGUCACACAACCAUCGACAAGCGAACCCGCACAGAGAACUGCUCUAGCGGAAUCCGUUGACGACGACGAGGAUGAUCUAGAAAAGAUAAGGGAGAGGCUGGCCAAAGUGAGGUCGUAG
rnacentral:rRNA from 1 species